GUGUCAGCAGCCUCGGUAAUACGUAGUUGUCAAGCGUUGUCCGGAAAAAUUGGGCGUAAAGGGCUCGCAGGCGGCUCCUUAAGUCUGAUGUGAAAGCCCGGGGCUCAACCCGGGAGGGUCAUUGGAAACUGGGGAACUUGAGUGCAGAAGAGGAGAGUGGAAUUCCACGUGUAGCGGUGAAAUGCGUAGAGAUGUGGAGGAACACCAGUGGCGAAGGCGACUCUCUGGUCUGUAACUGACGCUGAGGAGCGAAAGCGUGGGGAGCGAACAGGAUUAGAAACCCGAGUAGUCC
rnacentral:rRNA from 1 species